UCUCCACGACCAGAAAACUCCCCUGACCCAGUCACGCCAAAUCGUGGCUAAGGCAAGAGGGUUUUCGACUAUAGAUACCAUCACAAGAAAACCUGAAAAGGGGCUCUUCUCCUCAAGUACUCUGACAGAUCGACAAAAUGAAUAGAAUUCCACUUUUUAAGAAAAGAGAGAAAAGAGUUCUUUGCCUAUCGAAGCAAAAGGGGAGCUCCACCUCUGUAUAUGAAAGGAAGGCGAAACAAUUGUAAUUCUCCUUCCCCCUCUAAAGAGGAAGAAGGCGAAACUCUAUUAUAAAUAAGAUCUUUUGACAUUUUAUGCAUUCUAUAUAUGCAAUUGCAAUUGUUUUAUCUUCCGAUCUGGUAUUAAUUAAGAUUGAUUAUGAUUU
rnacentral:lncRNA from 1 species